UGUGUGUUCUUUUUGUCCUUUCAAAUGAACUAGGAGUCAGCUGAGGAUCUACAGAAGGGAUUACUAGAGUAAUCUGAAUUCAGAUUGCCCCAACACCCUCCUUGGAAAGUAACCUUUGCUUGUUCAUUCAAAGUACAUUCACUGGCCACUCACUGUAUGCCAGGUCCUAUGCUGGGCAUGGAAGAUCCAAGGACAAACUCUACUCAUGAAAAACAUUUAGAGUGGUGGGAGAGAUAAAUUUAGCAAUAAACAUGUAGAUACCCAGGGUACUAAGGGCUGUGCAGAGACCCACAGAGGGGUGGUAUGAGCCCAUUCUGAGAGCAUAUGAAAAGAAGUAGUAGCUUGUCACUUCAUUUUGUAGUGUGUUGUGUAGAAGAGAAAUUUCCUUCUGUGUUGAGAACCAUAAAUACUUCAGUGUAGCUAGUUCCCAGGAGUGACAGGGCGAGCUGUUAGAAGAGACUGGAGAAGUAGACAAAGCCUUGAAUGCCAGGCUGGGAGACUUAACCCUUAUCCUAAGGAAAGGGAGUGGCAGGUUCAGAAUUUUUUUUUUUUCCAGUUCUGGCAAUGAACCUAGGACCUUGCACAUGUUAGGCAAACCUUUUACUAUUAAGGAGAUUUUUUUUUUUUUUGUACAGCCAUGAACUGGAGAAAGCCAGGCAAGAUUAGUCCACAUGAAUGAAGGGGAGAGAAAAUAUGCAGGCACUGAACCUGAAGUGAAGACCUGGGGUCUGGUCUUGGCUUUGUUACUACGGAGCUGCAUGACUUUGAACAAGUCCCUGCAUUGCUCAAUUUCCUCAUCUGUAAAAUUAGAAUAAAAAAACAAUCCUCCUCUUCAGGGUUAUGGAGAUUCAAUGAAGUAAAAGAACUCACCAGCUGCUUACCCUGUUUGUGCCCUUUCUUCGUGAAACAGCCUGGACUAUUGUUCCUGUCAUUUGGAUCUCAUUUGCUCUCCUUGUGAGAGCCAAGCUGAAAUCUGUUGCCUUGUUGGAAGGGAAGUUUGUGGCAGGUGGCCCCUGUGUGGCUAGAACAGACAUCAAAAGAGGGCAGCAUGUCAAGGAGACCUGCUUUUGUGAUCCCUACAACUGGAGGACCCAAAGUGGGGAGAAUGAGGCAGAAAGGUCCAUAUUGUGUGCUGAUGUGGAAGGGUUCUACCAGAAAGCCCUUAAAUAUUGUCCUCUAACCCCAGGAAUUUAGCAGCACCUAAAAAUGCCACUUACAUGAAACCCUCUCAUUCUAUCUCAGUGCUUUGGGACGAUAUACACUCUAUCAUAAGUAUUUGAGGUUCUUUUGUGUGCAUGUAUAUGUGCCUGUAUGGGGAUUGAACUCAGGGACUUGUGCUCUCUCUUGGCUUUUUUGCUCAAGGCUGGCCUUCUACCACUUGAGUCACAUAUCCACUUCUGGCUGGUUAAUUGGAAAUAAGAGUUUCAUGGACUUUUCUGCCCAAGAUGGCUUUGAACAGUGAUCUCAGACUCUUGAGUAGCUAGGAUUACAGACAGGAGCCAUUUGUGCUUGGCUUUAGUAUCUGAGUCUUAAGUAAGAUAGGAGGUAAAACACUGCAUAUGCCAAGGAAAGGGACUGUUGUUCAGGAAAAUGAUGAGUUUUUAGGCAGUUAUCUCGAGAUGAAUAUCACUUCCUCAGUAAAAUGUCUUACCAGAAGAUGUACUGACAUCACCCUUUUUAUACUAUAAAGGCAAACUUUUCCAUCAAAACUUGAUGUAUCUCUGAUUCAUAAGGCACAUAGUUUGGGGGUUGCCCUGGAUCUACAAUAGAUAAUUUGUAGCUUUCUGGAAUCCCAUUUAUUCAGUGAAUUUAUUUAACUGUGUUGACAAGUGGUCAGUGGAAGACAAUGAGAGAGAAAAAGGAAAAAAAGGGCAUGGGGGCCAGUAGAGUUCCUCCCCAAAGGUGAAAGUCAGUCCUGAUGUUAAAACUAGGGACCUCAGAGAACAGAGUAUGUUUCCAUUUUGCAAGCCUAAAAAAAAAUACUGUGUGCUCAGAUGGCACCUUUAAUCACGAAGAACUUUUGGAUGAGUUCCAGGCUGAUUCUGCUGGCACAGAGAACUCUGAGAUCAUACCCUAUAUUCAGAGCCCAGAAGACAUAUUUCAUCCAUCUCUGAAAUAAAGAGGGGGAGAUGGAGCAUAUUAAAACAGUUUCGUAACAAAACCAUACCUGGGUG